CUGUUUUUUGUUGAAUCUAUUUUUUUUUUUUUUAAUACUGCAAUGUUGAGUAACUCUAUGCAACAAUCUAUAUUGGGUGGUGUUGAGGUGCUGUCCCAUUUUAUGAAACUGCAAUAUUCUGUUGAGAUAUUGCAUUUUGAUGCUGAGAUACUGGAUAGCAACUAAAUUUAUGGACUGUUGUAUAAUUCUCAGCAUAUUAUUUUGUACUAGAAAAUGAACUGUAAGAGUAAUUUAUGAACUGUUUUGGGGUAAUUACUGGAUUGUGAAGGCUAUUUUUGAACAUUAGUUUUAUUUUCUGUUGUUGGUAGUCUUCAGCUGGUGCAGAACGAGUUUGUUCAUUUUGUGUUUGUGAAAAUGCACCAGGUUAAUUAUUUUUUGUUCAUCUUGGUGUUGCCUGGGACAUUUUUGAUGGACUUAUUUUUCUCAGUUUUUAUUGUUCUUGCAAUCUUUACUUAGCAACUAUGGUUUGUUAAUAGCAUGCCUAGGACAGUUUUGUUUGAGUUGCAGGUGCAUGGCUGCACGUGAGCCAAUUUUUGGACAAUAAUGAUGUUUUGAAGAGAAUAUUUCUUGCAUUCAACUGUUUGGGACAAUAGAAGGAAAAUAAAAUGGAAAAUAAAUUGUUUGGGAGAAUAUUGAUAAACUGUUUGGGACAAUAGAGAAUAUUUCUUGCAUUCAACUGAUUGAUAUCUUUUUGGUAGAGCAAUUUACUCCUGCUUGUUGAUUUACAUGUUGUAAAGUAUACAUCUACUAGAGAGUAGAAAGAAAAUGUCAAAAUUGUAUAGGACUUCUGUUCAUUCUUGUUUCUUGGGUUUAAAAUUCUAUACAUAUUUUUCCUUGCAUGGAAUCUGCAUCUACAAUAGGCAAUCUGCACCUGCAUCUGCAAUAGACAAUCUGCAUCUGCAUCUGCAAUCUACAAUCUGCACCUUCAUCUGUAAUCUGCACCUGCAUCUGCAAUAUGCACCUGCAUCUGCAUUGCACCUGUAAUCUGCAUCUGCAAUCUGCACCUACAUCUGCAUCUGCAAUAGAUGUGAUUGUGGUGCUUGCUCAAAUCCUCUGAGUUAUUAAGUACUUUAUUGAGAAUAAAAAUUGAUGUAAUCUAGAAAUGUUGGUCUUGCCUAGGAAUGUUGGUAUUCAAUAGCCAACCUUCUUUUAAAAAAUAAAAAUAAAGUGCAGGGUUGGGUUGGGUUGUGAAUGAAGCCUAAGACUCUAUCACAUAUAUCAUCAUAUUUCUAUACACAUAUCCCUAAAAAAGAAAUUCUAUUUACAAUUUUAAAUGGAGGACUACAUAUUAUUGUAAUUUUAAAAAGAGAAAAAAAUAUCAUAUUUUAAUAAUAUGUAAUCCCAUGAAAAAUGACCUUGUUAAGCUUGAUACAUCACACAUUUUUUUCCUUUUAUAAUUGAGAGGAAAGGGAAAAUUCUUUCAUAUGUUACUGUGACAUACUUAUUUUUUUAACCAAUCAGAAUUUAUUUGAUUGGUAAUAUCAGUGAUAUUGAUGCCUCAUCUAAUGGCUUUCAAUAAAUGACAGAUUUCCCUUUCUUUUUGCAAAUCACUGGUUUGGUUUUCUCUAUUUCAACCACAUGAGAGACACCCCUUAUCCCUUUCUUAAAUGUGAUCAAGUAGUUAAAAUCAGUUUACUGACUCACUCUAUAUGAUUCGAUUCCUGUGAGUGAAAAAGACUUGUGCAUGGUUGGCUUAUCCCUUUCCAAGAAAAUGACGAGAAAGAAAAUUCAGAUAAAGAGGAUUGACAACACCACAGCACAGCAGGAUUGAACCAAAAUAUCAAGAAAUAGAGCAAAAAUAUUUCAGAAGCUGUCAAAGAUUGAUGGAAAAGCUAGCUAAACCCAUAUAGAAAAACUUUCACUUGUAAAUUUAUAUUCCAUUGUGAUAUGUUGGAUGGUUUUAUGUAAAACUUAAAACAAUAGUAGUGCAGUGGUUAAGCUUAAAAUAUGUACUUUGAGGUUAUAUGAAUGAUGUUUCAAGCAAAAAUUGAAUUUCUCCAAA